UACGUAGGCAGCGAGCGUUGUUCGGAGUUACUGGGCGUAAAGCGUGUGUAGGCGGCUUGGCAAGUUGGAUGUGAAAGCCCACGGCUCAACCGUGGAAGCGCAUCCAAAACUGCUUCGCUCGAGUCUCGGAGAGGAAGGUGGAAUGCUUGGUGUAGAGGUGAAAUUCGUAGAUAUCAAGCAGAACACCUGCGGCGAAGGCGGCCUUCUGGACGAUGACUGACGCUGAGACACGAAAGCGUGGGGAGCAAACAGG
rnacentral:rRNA from 1 species